rnacentral:rRNA from 1 species
GACGAACGCUGGCGGCGUGCUUAACACAUGCAAGUCGAACGGAAAGGCCCUGCUUUUGUGGGGUGCUCGAGUGGCGAACGGGUGAGUAACACGUGAGUAACCUGCCCUUGACUUUGGGAUAACUUCAGGAAACUGGGGCUAAUACCGGAUAGGAGCUCCUGCUGCAUGGUGGGGGUUGGAAAGUUUCGGCGGUUGGGGAUGGACUCGCGGCUUAUCAGCUUGUUGGUGGGGUAGUGGCUUACCAAGGCUUUGACGGGUAGCCGGCCUGAGAGGGUGACCGGCCACAUUGGGACUGAGAUACGGCCCAGACUCCUACGGGAGGCAGCAGUGGAGAAUAUUGCACAAUGGGCGGAAGCCUGAUGCAGCAACGCCGCGUGCGGGAUGACGGCCUUCGGGGUGUAACCCGCUUUCGCCUGUGACGAAGCGUGAGUGACGGUAAUGGGUAAAGAAGCACCGGCUAACUACGUG